rnacentral:lncRNA from 1 species
AUGACUGCUCCCUUGCUUUCUGAAGUCCGCCAAGCUGAGCCGAUCACAAGGGAGUCAUGCCACGGUUCCAGGUGUAGCCAAUCCUUGGCAUCAUGCGCGCAUGCACGUGGGCACGCACACGUGCAAACGCAGAAGCCCACUUCCUGCGUCGUCAGAGGCGCCGCCGGGACGCUGGCUCGUUUGGCUCACCUCUCGUGCUCUUUCCAGUUUCUGAGGUGCAUUGAGACAUCACCCGUCAGUCUCUCAGCUCCUCGUCCCCCACGCCAGUCAGGCCACUCAACCCGGGAGCAAAUUCAUCUCCAGCUGUCACAGUUCAAGUCACUGACCAUUUAUGAGCACCCACUCAGCACAGGGAGCAAGGCUGAUGACGCAGAGAAUGCAGAGAUGGACGAGACAUGUCUGCCCUUCCUGGACUCACAAAAUAACAGAGCGAGCCCACAUGCAACUAAAGGAUGCUGGAAUCAAAUGACAAAUGAAUAAAGAAACAGGGAUGAACAGAUUAAUUCUGACCUCGGGGCCAGCCCAAGUUAACAGAGUAGGCAGACUCUGUGAAGGAACUUGGCUUUCUUGGGCAGAAAUGGUGGGAAAGGUGGCUGCCUGACAGGUGAAAGAGCUGGAGAUGCUGCCUUUGAUCAAGAGGUGGAAGUUGUAUCUUUGGAAGCCCCAGACUUGCUGCCCUUGGACUAUUUGAAAAAGAAACAGCUUUACAUCUUGUUUAAGUCACUGUUUCAAAAAAAAAAAAAGUGGUAUGUGGAGGUGUUCAAACAGGUACAAAGUUCCUGUUACAAAAUAAAUAAGUCCUGGAGAUGUACAGUGUGGUUAACUAUAGUUACUAACGUGUGUGUUAGUCUCUCAAUCAUGUCUGAUUCUUUGUGACCCCAUGGACUAUAGCCCGCCAGGCUCCCGUGUCCAUGAGGUUUUCCAGGCAAGAAUAGUGGAGUGGAUUUCCCUUCCAUUCUCCAAGAGAUCUUCAUGACCCAGGGAUUGAACCUGCAUCUCCUGCAUUGCAGACAGAUUCCUCACUGCCUGAGCCACCCAGAAAGCACAUAGUUACUAAUACUGCAAUGCAGAUUUGAAAGCUGCUAAGAGGGUAGAUCUUAAAGGUUCUCAUGACAAGAAAACAACUUUUGUGACGAAAUAUGGUGAUGGGUGUUAACUAGACUUAUUCUGGUGAUCAUGUCAUAAUAGCUACAGAUAUCAAAUCAUCAUGUUGUCAACCUGGAACAAAUAUACUGUUAUAAUGUCCAUGAUACCUCCAUUUAAAAAAGUGCUGGGAAGGGAAUUCUAGACAAAGAAUAGGACAUAAGGAAAAGUGGAAAGCUAGGAAACAUGUUAAGCAGAACAGAAACUGCAAGGGUCCUUUGAAGGCUGGAUGGGUAUUAGGGACAGGUUGUGGAAAGGGAAACGUUGAGAAGAGAUUGUUGGAGAUGUCGAUGACAGUGACAUGAUGGAGGACCUGAUUGUAUACUUCAGAUUGUAUUUGAAAACAAUGUUUUCCUCACAGAGACUUUUCUCUGCUACUACCAGGGGCAUGGGGACACUAGCGAUUCAGAUCACUACAUCUAGUUUUAGGGCAGAAAUCUGGUCCUCAGGGAUGACUUGAAUCUGGGCUGCAAGUUCAUGGGAGGUUUGCUUCUGACUUUUUCUGACUCCUAGAGUAGUUUCCCUGGAGAAGGCAAUGGCACCCCACUCCAGUACUCUUGCCUGGAAAAUGCCAUGGACGGAGGAGCCUAGUAGGCUGCAGUCCGUGGGGUUGCUGAGAGUUGAGCAAGACUGAGCGACUUCACUUUCACUUUUCACUUUCAUGCAUUGGAGAAGGAAAUGGCAACCCACUCCAGUGUUCUUGCCUGGAGAAUCCCAGGGACGGGGGAGCCUGGUGGGCUGCCAUCUAUGGGGUCGCACAGAGUCGGACACAACUGAAGCGACUUAGCAGCAGCAGCAGCAGCAGAGUAGUUUCCUAGGGUCCUCACGCUGGACAGGCCAUGGACACUGACUUUCAUCUCCCAAGCCCUGAGAAUCUGUCAAAGCAGAACUCGGCAUCUCAGCUGCCCAGUCAGGAUCACCCAUGGCCCCCGAGAACCAGAGCAACCGCGAUACCAUUGUUGCCUUUCCAAUUUCCUCUCCAACCAGUCUCUCUUCACUUUUUUGUUACCUACUUGUUGCUUUUCAGAAGUCUUAAAAAAUCUUUUGUCCAGCUUUUCUGUCUGGAGCAUUAGACCGAAUUACCCAGUUAUCCUUCCUGGGUGUGGAAGUUCUGCCGAGUUGCUCCUUUAUUUAUGAUUAAAAAAAAAAUCUGAAGUGGACUCUGAGCAUUGCUGGGCCAUUCCAAUGCCUCCAGUACCUAAUUCAGUCCCUCUUUUUCUGAGAUAAUUAAAAAUACCUUCUUCUUUCUCCUCAACUGCUCAAUAGCCCUGCUGCCUCCUCACUCUCAGCUGGAGCUCCCAGUUUGAAUUACACUGAAGAAUGAGAAACCAAAUGAAGAAAAUGGCCCUAUCUCUCCACCACUUGUCAGCUCUGUGGCGCUGCUCAUGUGUUCUUCCUGUACCACAGACGAAAUGUCUGAACCCCCACCAGGACCAGGUGGUCUAGUUAUCCCCCUGUGCCUCUCAGUAAUUUUCUCCUGUCAUUUUACUCUUUUCAUGUAUCACCCCUUUUUCUCUCUCUGUUGUAUCAUCGUAGAAACAUGCCUACUGCAUAUUUAAGAUGUCUCAUUAAAAACACCCAACCCCAUUUUUUUUUAAACUGGCAUUCCCAGAUUCCAACACAAUCCAGACAUUUAUUGCAGUUGCCAGCCAACUUAUUUAGAUUGUCUGUGGGAUGGAGGGAAGAGAAGAUCUUCAUUUUAAAGAUUUUAUUCAUUUAUUUUGGCUGUGCUUCUCUUCUUGUGGAGCACAGGCUCUAGGCACAUGUGCUUCCAGUAGUUGCAGCAUGUGGGCUCAGUAGUUGUGGUGCAUGGGCUUAGUUGCUCUGUGGCAUGUGGGACCUUCCCAAACCAGGAAUCGAACCCAUGUCCCCUGCAUUGGCAGGUGGAUUCCUGAACAUGAGGCCAUGAGGAAAGCCCCCAACCCUCUCUUAACCAUGUAUUCCCAUUCAGCUAAGUAAAAUUCCCUGAAGGAUUCCUCUUUUGCUUGAUUAUUUUUUAAUCCUUUCUCCUUUUUUAAUUUGUAGGGCUGUUUCGAGUCUUAGUUGCAGCACAUGGGGUGUUUCAUCUUCCCUGCAGCAUGCAGAAUCUUCAGUUGCAGCGUGUGCUAUCUAGUUCCCAGUGUGUCUGCAUGUGUGCUCAGUCGUUGAAGUUGUGCCCAACUCUGUGUGACCCUAUAGAUUGUAGUUCCUUGACCAGGGCUCAAACCUGGCCCCCCUGAGUUGGUAGUGUGGUGUCUUAGCCACUGGACCACCAGGGCAGUCCCUUGAUUCUUCCUUAAUCUCCCACUCUCUCAUCAACAGAUCUCUAUUAUGUUCUCUUCCCCAGCACUCUGCUGAAAUCUCUCCUGGUAUGGUUGUUCAUGACCUCUAUCUUGUUAUAUCCAAAAGUAAGUUAUCAAAUGACUUUUAAUAGAAUAGAUCUCUCUCACCUUUUAACUUUUUAUUUAUUAUUUUUAGUUUUAUUUUAUUUUUUAACUUUACAAUAUUGUAUUGGUUUUGCCAUAUAUCAAAAUGAAUCCACCACAGGUAUACAUGUGUUCCCCAUCCUGAACCCUCCUCCCUCCCCAUACCAUCCCUCUGGGUCGUCCUAGUGCACCAGCCCCAAGCAUCCAGUAUCGUGCAUCAAACCUGGACUGGUAACUCAUUUCAUAUAUGAUAUUAUACAUGUUUCAAUGCCAUUCUCCCAAAUCAUCCCACCCUCUCCCUCUCCAACAGGGUCCAAAAGACUGUUCUAUACAUCAGUGUCUCUUUUGCUGUCUCGUAUACACGGUUAUUGUUACCAUCUUUCUAAAUUCCAUAUAUAUGUGUUAGUAUACU